rnacentral:rRNA from 1 species
UACGCAGGGGGCUAGCGUUGCUCGGAAUUACUGGGCGUAAAGCGCACGUAGGCGGAUUGUUAAGUCGGGGGUGAAAUCCUGGAGCUCAACUCCAGAACUGCCUUCGAUACUGGCGAUCUCGAGUUCGGGAGAGGUGAGUGGAACUGCGAGUGUAGAGGUGAAAUUCGUAGAUAUUCGCAAGAACACCAGUGGCGAAGGCGGCUCACUGGCCCGAUACCGACGCUGAGGUGCGAAAGCGUGGGGAGCAAACAGG